rfam:Actinobacteria bacterium 13_2_20CM_2_66_6 13_2_20cm_2_scaffold_1930, whole genome shotgun sequence.
GCGGGUGUGUUGUAGUGGUAGCAAACGACCUUCCCAAGGUUGCAGUAGGGGUCCGAUUCCCCUCACCCGCU